UACGGAGGAUGCAAGCGUUAUCCGGAAUGAUUGGGCGUAAAGCGUCCGCAGGUGGCUAUGUAAGUCUGCUGUUAAAGAGUGAGGCUCAACCUCAUAAGAGCAGUGGAAACUACAUGGCUAGAGUGCGGUCGGGGCAGAGGGAAUUCCUGGUGUAGCGGUGAAAUGCGUAGAGAUCAGGAAGAACACCGGUGGCGAAAGCGCUCUGCUAGACCUGUACUGACACUGAGGGACGAAAGCUAGGGGAUCGAAUGGG
rnacentral:rRNA from 1 species